GUGACGGGUGAGUAACGCGGCCAGGCAGCGGGGUGCGGGGCAGUCUUGGGCCUGUAGUGGCCUAACUAGGGAGACGCCGCGUGGUGGUGUCAGCGGAAUCGGAAACGGCCCAUUACAGCUACUUAUUGGGCGACCUUGGGGAAGUGACUUUACCUGUUAUCUGGCUGCAGGACAUGUUAAGGAAUUCAUGCAGGUGGAUAAAAAGGGAUUUUUGGAGUUCGAGUCCUUAGAACCUAUUUUAAAUUCCAGUUGUGUGGCUUUUCUACACUGAUUGGCGACUUUCAGUAAAUAGCUUAAUUUAAACCUGUCCGUAAAACGGAUGAUAAAAUGGUCCUGUAAAGAUUAAAUGAGACAAAACACUGGUACAUAACAAAAAUGAAGAGGAAGUUGGGACCUGGUAGUAGGAUAUCUGUUCUCUUAUUUGGUCUCCAGCAUGUCUCAGUAGGUGAAUUUCAGUUAUGCAAUAGUGCACAGGAUUUAGGGGAGUCUGAGGGUUGGACAGCAUUUGUGGCAGUCCUGAGACCUAAAUUGCCCUGUGGCCCUUAUCGAAGCUGCAGCUGCUUCCACAUAGCUGCUGUGGUCAAAAAGGAGCCCAGAGUGACAGUUUUCCUUGACGGUCGCCGUUCUGUUUGCUGUAACUGAUCUGCAACAUAUCAGGAAAAGACAAUUCCCAUCGUACCUGCCAUUUCUCCGAUAUAGGUGGAAUCCUUUAUUACAAUAGACAGGUUUCCAGAGGCCAACAGAAAUGCUCUGUUGAUGGGUCUUGCAUAGAGUUGCUAGAAUAAAACUUCUGAGAAGUAGAUUGCUGAGAUGAAGAACAAGUAUGGAGGGGCAGGCAGUGGGAAUGGGUUGGACAUGUGUGCUGGAAAAAUCCAGUGGCAAGUGGCACAGAUCUUAACAGUGCUUUGGGUCACUGCCCUGAAAAGCUUAAGGCAUAAGUACCAGGGUCAAAAGCCAGUCAAACAUUUUGAUUCUCAAGACCAGAAGGGAACAAUGUCAUUCAGGACAACUGUGUUCUCGUCUUAGUUGUGCCAGAUGAAGAUUCCAGGAGGACUCUGAGGUUGAGCUUUCUGGUGAGGAUUCUGUGGUCAUGACUGUGAUGGAACACAACCAUCUCAGGACCCGGUAGGUUUCUGGGAACUGCCUGGUGGGUCGGUACAGCAUGUUUCCAAGGGCUGUGGCCGGUUGUGGCCAUGGGAUCUCCAACUGCAUGCGAGAGCAACCUGGAGAGACUUUGACAGCACAGGUCAGCAUAAUACCUGCAGCUGCCACUCGCCUUUCCUAUAAACGGCUUGGGACCUGGGCUGGAAGCCUUCUAAGUGAGUCCGGGUGUUUUCCAUAAACUACCACGUAGAUGGUAGAUGGGUAUUUCGAUCAACUUUUUCGUUUAGAGCUUUCACCCUUUUUUCUGCAGGUUGCCCCCAAGUGUCCUGGCAGUAUCUGCUACUGAAGAAUCUGAAGUUACCAGGUCGUUGCUGUGCUUUAGAUAAGGUAAAGUUAGAUGUUGAAGACAUCCUGACCCUCCGGUUCCCUUUCCCAUCGGAUCUGAACACUGGUCUUGGUGGUCGUAAAAGGAGGAAAAAGAAUACUGAAACUAGCCUCCCAGUGCUUAUCGUCUGGUAUAUAGCUUGGAGGCUAGUUUCAAACAAGAUUUGAAUUCUCUUUGAUCUCCUCCCCUGUAAAAUGGGAUAAUCUUAGGCUUAAAGGGAGGAUGUCGGUGAAGGUCUGGGCAGUUGUAGUGAUGGCUGACUUAAUGCUUAUGAAUUUGAUCAACAUGAAUGUCCUUCUUGCCUCUUGGUUGAGAGUGUCCUGUUUUUUGUUUUUUUUUAAAGAUCUGUUACCAGUAAAGCUGUCCUUAUCUGUGAUUAUGGAUCUAUAGUUGGG
rnacentral:lncRNA from 1 species